UUCUGGGCGUAAGCGUGCGUAGGCGGCUUUUUAAGUCGGAUGUGAAAUCCCUGAGCUUAACUUAGGAAUUGCAUUCGAUACUGGAAAGCUAGAGUAUGGGAGAGGAUGGUAGAAUUCCAGGUGUAGCGGUGAAAUGCGUAGAGAUCUGGAGGAAUACCGAUGGCGAAGGCAGCCAUCUGGCCUAAUACUGACGCUGAGGUACGAAAGCAUGGGGAGCAAACAGGAUUAGAUACCCUGGUAGUCCAUGCCGUAAACGAUGUCUACUAGCCGUUGGGGCCUUUGAGGCUUUAGUGGCGCAGCUAACGCGAUAAGUAGACCGCCUGGGGAGUACGGUCGCAAGACUAAAACUCAAAUGAAUUGACGGGGGCCCGCACAAGCGGUGGAGCAUGUGGUUUAAUUCGAUGCAACGCGAAGAACCUUACCUGGCCUUGACAUACUAAGAACUUUCCAGAGAUGGAUUGGUGCCUUCGGGAACUUAGAUACAGGUGCUGCAUGGCUGUCGUCAGCUCGUGUCGUGAGAUGUUGGGUUAAGUCCCGCAACGAGCGCAACCCUUUUCCUUAUUUGCCAGCGGGUAAUGCCGGGAACUUUAAGGAUACUGCCAGUGACAAACUGGAGGAAGGCGGGGACGACGUCAAGUCAUCAUGGCCCUUACGGCCAGGGCUACACACGUGCUACAAUGGUCGGUACAAAGGGUUGCUACCUCGCGAGAGGAUGCUAAUCUCAAAAAGCCGAUCGUAGUCCGGAUCGCAGUCUGCAACUCGACUGCGUGAAGUCGGAAUCGCUAGUAAUCGCGGAUCAGAAUGCCGCGGUGAAUACGUUCCCGGGCCUUGUACACACCGCCCGUCACACCAUGGGAGUUUGUUGCACCAGAAGUAGGUAGUCUAACCGUAAGGAGGACGCUUACCACGGUGUGGCCGAUGACUGGGUGAAGUCGUACAGGGUAAC
rnacentral:rRNA from 1 species